UACGUAGGGAGCAAGCGUUGUCCGGAAUCAUUGGGCGUAAAGCGCGCGUAGGCGGUUACGCAAGUCGGUUGUGAAAAUCCGGGGCUCAACCCCGGACCUGCAUCCGAUACUGCGUGACUAGAGGUAGGUAGGGGAGAUCGGAAUUCCUGGUGUAGCGGUGAAAUGCGCAGAUAUCAGGAGGAACACCGGUGGCGAAGGCGGAUCUCUGGGCCUUACCUGACGCUCAGGCGCGAAAGCUAGGGGAGCGAACAGG
rnacentral:rRNA from 1 species